AAUUAGGAAAUGAAUGAAAACCUAAAACAAAUCCCAGUCCAGCAUUUGUCCACCUUUAUAGUUUUACUAAUAAACAUGUUGAGAUAUGUUCUUGAUCGUGACAGUAGCUCAGCGGUGGUGUCUCAGAUUGACGGUCCGGUCUUUUAGAGUCAUUACGGUGUGUGUUGCCGGGGAGUGACUCCAGCACAGAGACACAAUGGACCUGCAGUGACAGAGUAAAUACUGUAUCACUGUUUUCACACACAGCCUUAUUUAUCUUUGACAGUGUAAUGGUGAAGGGAUAGCAGUAUGCUAACUGUGGUUUUAGCGUUACUUAGAUAUUUAGCCAACGAUCUGCUAGCUAGCUAAGUUAGCCUAGCUAAGCACCUGCCUCUGUGUUUGGUUGUGAGGGCAUCUCCUGUGCUAGCCUCAUAUUGAAGUGUUUGGCUGAUCUGUGAGCGAGAUUAUGGAGUUUCCCUUUGAUAUUAACCAGUUAUUCUCUGAGAGGGUCUCAGUGCUGGAUCAGAGCCUUAUAGCAGGUCGGAAAUCAGCAGGACGUCCAGAUCUACAGGCCCACAUCGCCACUGUCAUUGAUGAACUGGGGAGAGCCUCGGCUAAGGCUCAGCAGCUCACAUCUCCAAUCACGAGUGCUUCAAAGCUGCAGACUCAGAGGCAUCAGCUCUACCUGCUCAAAGACGGAGAGAGCAAUGGAGGACGAGGAGUGGUGGUUGGAUUUCUCAAAGUUGGCUAUAAGAAGUUAUUCCUGCUGGACAGACAGGGGCUGCACAUAGAGGCGGAGCCGCUCUGUGUGUUGGAUUUCUACAUAUCAGAGAACCUGCAGCGACACGGCUACGGGCUGGAGCUCUUUGAUUUCAUGCUGCAGCAUAAGAGUUUGGAGCCCAUCCUGAUGGCGUUCGACCGUCCCUCGCCUAAGUUCCUGUCCUUCCUGGCGAAGCAAUACUGUCUGACUCAGAGUGUUCCUCAGGUGAAUAACUUUGUGGUGUUUGAAGGAUUCUUCCUGAACCGAUCAGCGGCCCAGUUGAGAAAGGUUCCCCUCAGAAAGCCGGAAGGAGAGAUCAAGCCAUAUUCUAUGAUGGAGAGAGAAGCUGUGCGUCAGGAGCAGAGGGUUCCUCCAUGGCCGUUUGCUCCUCCUCACUCCCCCCUGCGAUCGGUAUCCUCCCGGUACUCCCCUCCCCUCAGCGUGGGCUCCUCCCCCAGCAGGGCCGCUCCUCGAGCCGCCUCGCUGUCAGCCAAUCAGAGCCCCCAGUCCCCCCUCAUCGAACGCUGCAGGGCAAGACGCACCAGUUCUCUUAACAGAUCAGAAAUGGGUUCACAUUGACGCCGUCCUUCUCCAGCCCCAUCCCUUCACAGGAUGUCAGUGUAUUAGAGACAGAUUAUUAUCUGCUGUUAGAUUAUCAGACUGCAGCUGAGAAUUUAAAUCUGGUCAGCAGGAACACCACGCAUCUGUCUGAUGAUUUUAUAGAAACCAUUAAAGUCAGUUUGUUCAACGUUUCCUGGGAGAGAGUUUUUCUUUAAGAUGGUUCACUCUGAACCAAACAGGCGGACAAAAGCUCUAUACCUAUCACUUAGCGUUUACAGUUGGUGUUUACAGUUAGUGUUUAGUUAGUGUUUAUAUUCAGUGUUUACAGUCAGUGUUUACAGUCAGUGUUUACAGUCAGUGUUUACAGUCAUAGUUUACAUUCAGUGUUUACAGUCAUAGUUUAAAGUCAGUGUUUACAGUCAGUGUUUACAGUCAGUGUUUACAGUCAUAGUUUACAUUCAGUGUUUACAUUCAGUGUUUACAGUCAUAGUAUAAAGUCAGUGUUUACAGUCAUAGUUUAAAGUCAGUGUUUUGUUUACAUUCAGUGUUUACAGUCAUAGUUUACAUUCAGUGUUGACAGUCAGUGUUUACAGUCAGUGUUUACACUCAUACUUUACAUUCAGUAUUUACAGUCAGUUUUUUAAUUCAAUGUUUACAUAUAUUAUGACUUCAUCAGUCAUAUUUGACUUCAUCAGUUCAUCGUUUUAUCAUUUUUAUCUCAGUUUUUUUUUAAUCUCCAGUUUUUAAGAGUCUUAUGAUUUUACCAUUUUUCUUUUGUGUUUUUUUUCUUUUCUGUCUUUUAUGUUACUUCAUCCCCACAUCCCCCUCCUCCUACUUGUCUUCCUCCUAUUUUUUCUCCCCCUGCUCCUGCCCUCUCCUCCUCCUCCUCUCUCUGGUAGCGAUCAGGGUCUGGUAGCGAGACGCAGCCUGUACAGUCGAUACCUGGACGUCAGACCUGUAGGACAGCAGGACACACACCUAACAGGUGUGAGAGCUGUGGAGGAGCUGGCACAUGCGCCCGGACACACGGACACACGCAGGUCCCAGCUCCUCUCUCCUCCUCCUCCUCAGUCUAUGCCCGACACAGAGGACGUCACAGAGACACAGCAGGGUCCAGUUGAGGAAGAGGACAGGAUGAAGGACAGACCUCAGCUCCCAGCAGGAGGACAAGGUGGAGUUAUGUUGUCCACUCACGCAUGUCCAUUGGAGGACAGAGACAGAGGGCUGUUGUCAUUUACUGUAGUAGAGACGAGUUUUAACGCUCAGUGGGUCAAACAGAAGCACGAGCUGAGGAACACUAGGCCGUGGUGACGAAGGACAGAACCCAGACUCAGAGGAGGACCAGACUCAGAGACUCACUACCUGAACACCGGUCUACCUGCACUGAUGGGCUGCUAAGACAGACCCUGAGCUGCUGUUAGCUGCUCAGCCUGCUUAUUUUUUAAUUUAAAGUUUAGGAUUGUAUUUAGAACUGAAAUAAAAACAUGACGUCACAUCGCUGAUGCAGAGUU